rnacentral:tRNA from 1 species
GGGGAGGUAGCUCAGUGGUAGAGCUCUUACCUAACACAUGGGAAGCCCUGGGUUCAGUCCCCAGCACCCCCA